CAAAUUUAGCCAUUCUUGUUGUUACUGUUUCUCAAAAGAACUGACCCAAAAUUUAAAAGCUCAGUUGUAAGUAUUAUCUGCUAGUAGUUCUGUGAAAAUAUGAGGGUGGAUUGCUCUUCUCUUUAAAAACUAAUUUACCCUCAAUGCAUUUCCCUGACCACAUGCUCUCUGUUCUUCUUGCUCUGGUAAGCUUGCCUAGAAGCUGAUCUGCAUUGGAGCUAAUCAAGAUGCUUCACUUCACCUCGCCUUUGUCAGCAUACAAAAGCUCAUGUCAGGAAAGCUUUCAGAGGACCAUGCUGAAUUUUAAGAGAUCUGAAUUUGGCUGAGGAUGAGCAAGCAGCUGUUACUUUCAAACAUUCUUCUUGAGAAUUCUACAGGAGGUCUGAGCAAAAGAGAAUAUCUGAUUAAUCACCUUGUCCCAAAUCAGCCACAGGAAAUCAUUGCUUCUGGGAUCAAGAGCAGUGGUGCCAGUCACAGCUGAGCCAAGAGGGAGCCGGGCUGAGCCCAAAGGUGCCCAGGGGAGUGAC
rnacentral:lncRNA from 1 species